UCAUUUAUCUAUAUAAGUACUCAAACCUCUUAAAUUGUGGAUUCUUUCAAUAAGUAUUGCUUGGAAUCCAAGAUUAGAAUAUUAUACUUGAAAGAUUAAAGCUAAAAUACUUUAAAUUCUCAUCACUUGCAAAUCUUUCAAAAUUUCUUCCAAUACAAAAUUAAGGUUAUAAAAUUACCAUAACUUUUUUGUGAAAAAACCGACCACUAAGUUCACAUUUUAG
rnacentral:lncRNA from 1 species